CACGUAGGGGGCGAGCGUUGUCCGGAUUUAUUGGGCGUAAAGAGCUCGUAGGCGGCUCGGUAAGUCGGGUGUGAAACCUCCAGGCUCAACCUGGAGACGCCACCUGAUACUGCUGUGGCUAGAGUCCGGUAGGGGAGUGUGGAACUCCUGGUGUAGCGGUGAAAUGCGCAGAUAUCAGGAGGAACACCAAUGGCGAAGGCAGCACUCUGGGACGUGACUGACGCUGAGACGCGAAAGCGUGGGGAGCAAACAGG
rnacentral:rRNA from 1 species